rnacentral:rRNA from 1 species
ACUCCUACGGGAGGCAGCAGUAGGGAAUCUUCGGCAAUGGACGAAAGUCUGACCGAGCAACGCCGCGUGAGUGAAGAAGGUUUUCGGAUCGUAAAACUCUGUUGGUAGAGAAGANCGUUGGUGAGAGUGGAAAG